AGAGUUUGAUCCUGGCUCAGGACGAACGCUGGCGGCGUGCUUAACACAUGCAAGUCGAACGAGGUCCUACCAGUGGCAACACUGGGAAAGACCUAGUGGCGAACGGGUGAGUAACACGUGAGGAACCUGCCCCGAAGAUCGGGAUAACCCUCCGAAAGGAGGGCUAAUACCGGAUGCCCUCUACUGAUCGCAUGGUCGGUUGAGGAAAGGGUUACUGCUUCGGGAGGGCCUCGCGGCCUAUCAGCUUGUUGGUGAGGUAACGGCUCACCAAGGCGACGACGGGUAGCUGGUCUGAGAGGACGAUCAGCCACACUGGGACUGAGACACGGCCCAGACUCCUACGGGAGGCAGCAGUGGGGAAUCUUGCGCAAUGGGCGAAAGCCUGACGCAGCAACGCCGCGUGCGGGAUGACGGCCUUCGGGUUGUAAACCGCUUUCAGUGGGGACGAAUUCAGACGGUACCCACAGAAGAAGCCCCGGCCAACUACGUGCCAGCAGCCGCGGUAACACGUAGGGGGCGAGCGUUGUCCGGAUUCAUUGGGCGUAAAGAGCUCGUAGGCGGCUCAGUAAGUCGGGUGUGAAACCCUCAGGCUCAACCUGGGGACGCCACCCGAUACUGCUGUGGCUAGAGUCCAGUAGGGGAGUGUGGAAUUCCCGGUGUAGCGGUGAAAUGCGCAGAUAUCGGGAGGAACACCAGCGGCGAAGGCGGCACUCUGGGCUGGAACUGACGCUGAGGAGCGAAAGCGUGGGUAGCAAACAGGAUUAGAUACCCUGGUAGUCCACGCCGUAAACGUUG
rnacentral:rRNA from 1 species